ACGCUGGCGGCGUGCUUAACACAUGCAAGUCGAACGGUGAAGAGGAGCUUGCUCCUUGGAUCAGUGGCGAACGGGUGAGUAACACGUGAGUAACCUGCCCCAAACUCUGGGAUAAGCACUGGAAACGGUGUCUAAUACCGGAUACGAGCUUCAGCCGCAUGGCUAGGAGUUGGAAAGAAUUUCGGUUUGGGAUGGACUCGCGGCCUAUCAGCUAGUUGGUGAGGUAAUGGCUCACCAAGGCGACGACGGGUAGCCGGCCUGAGAGGGUGACCGGCCACACUGGGACUGAGACACGGCCCAGACUCCUACGGGAGGCAGCAGUGGGGAAUAUUGCACAAUGGGCGCAAGCCUGAUGCAGCAACGCCGCGUGAGGGACGACGGCCUUCGGGUUGUAAACCUCUUUUAGUAGGGAAGAAGCGAAAGUGACGGUACCUGCAGAAAAAGCACCGGCUAACUACGUGCCAGCAGCCGCGGCAAUACGUAGGGUGCAAGCGUUGUCCGGAAUUAGUGGGCGUAAAGAGCUCGUAGGCGGUUUGUCGCGUCUGCUGUGAAAACCCGAGGCUCAACCUCGGGCCUGCAGUGGGUACGGGGCAGACUAGAGUGCGGUAGGGGAGAUUGGAAUUCCUGGUGUAGCGGUGGAAUGCGCAGAUAUCAGGAGGAACACCAAUGGCGAAGGCAGAUCUCUGGGCCGUAACUGACGCUGAGGAGCGAAAGCGUGGGGAGCGAAC
rnacentral:rRNA from 1 species